GGCCUCUCACUGUUGUGGCCUCUCCUGUUGCAGAGCACAGGCUCUGGACACGCAGGCUCAGCGGCCAUGGCUCACGAGCCUAGCCGGUCCACGGCAUGUGGGAUCUUCCUGGACCGGGGCAUGAACCUGCAUCCCCUGCAUCGGCAGGCAGACUCUCCACCACUGCGCCACCAGGGAAGCCCGGGCGCCCAGGUGUUCAAUCAGCUGCUCUGCACUGGACACCCCCAGCAAGACCGAGCUGACACCCUCACUGCGGAGACACCACGCUGGGCCAGAGAAGGAAAUAAAAAAGAACUGGUCGGAAAGAGUGAGCACGCAGACUUCAGAGGUGUCUCCGAGGAAGAGGGUCCUCCCCAGAGACAAACCAGUCUGCGGUUUGGUAGCAUCUCAGGAGGAGACAAGGCCUCUUCAGGGUCCAGGACUGGCAGUGUCUCACCAAUAGCAAGCUGCGCCACGGUGCAGCCCAGCUGGUGAGCGAUGGGGAGAAGGUCCAUGACUUUGGCUUGUUGCUUCUUGCCAUCCUCACUCUGCACUUUGUCUUUGUGCCACUGGUAGCCCUGGAGGCCAAGGAGAAUCAGCAAAAGACGACUCCUCAGAUAGUCCACUCCUGCCGUCCUGAGCCCCCAGAUCUCACCUUGAUGUUGACCCUGCAGGUAUCUGGGACUCGCCCAUCAUACUUGCUAGUGAUGAGGCCACAGGCAAGAGGGGACCAGGUGACUGAGCCAACACCUAAGAGGAAGAGGAUUGGAUGUGGGAAAGGGAUCUAGGUGAUGGUGAGGCCGAGGGAAAGGUAGGGAUGAGGGGACUUCGAACCAAUCUUGUGGUAGAGCUCUGGCAGCUGCAUCUCCACCUUCUCUCUCUGAAACAGAUGGUGCUCAGCUUGUUCACACACUGGAGGAAUCAGGUUGAACUGUCUGGCCAUGGAGUAGGCCUCCUGAGUUGGGGUGGGGAAAAGAUGGGGGUCAGAGCACUCCUUCCAUUUUCUUCCACUCCCCCCCCUCCAGUAGAGUGGGGUUUGGAGUGGCCAUGUGAAAAGUGGGAACAAGUUGUAGGACGGCGAGGUGGGUGGCACACUCACCAUGAUUUCUGCAGCCCCCCAUCGGGAUGUCCCCCAGUAUAGGGCCAGGCCCUGGUUGAUGACAUAGGUCAUGGCUCGCACAAUCUCUAGGCACAUAGGAGAGGGAGAGCCUCACUGUCAGACCCCUGGCAUCCUGGGUUCCAGAUGUGCAGACCUCUGCCUGCCCCACCAAGGCCCCACUCAUCCCUGUGGAGUCAGAGGGGUUGGUAUCUGCUUUUCACCUCCCUCCCCGUCCAAGUCCUGGGGUCUGAGCCUCUGCUGUGGAGCUUGGGAGGCCUCCUGAGCAGGGGCUGGCUUCUGCUGAGGGUUUUAGAAGUGCUCAGUUUUGAAGGGCUGUCAGGGUUGGGGUGCUGCUUUUACCCUCCAUGGGACUGUUGGGGUCUGAGCGAUUGGCGAAGAUGAUGUCCACAUAUCCCAGCUGGAGGCGUUCCAGGGAUCCUCGCAAGCCUGGGGUAAAAGCAUGGGGCGAGGAAGGUAAGCUCUUCAGCUUCAGUUUCCUAAGAAUUUAGACCUUAUCCUUUUGCCAUGGCCACCUAAAUCCCGGCUUCCCUAUUCAAAGCCUCAGACUCAGAGCUUCAGAGAAUGUUCCCAACUCCUCUGGCUUCCAUACCCAGCCACCUCCAGUUCCCAGCCCCUAACUCUUACCCUCAAUGAUGUGUUUGCGGCUCAAGCCUCGCUCAGUUUCUGCCCUGUAGGAAAAGGUAAGUCAGAGAUGAGGUGUGUCAAAGAUAAGGGACCAGGGCUGGCCUGGAAUCAUGAGGAACUGGUAUUUCAGGGGUCCUCACAGGCAGGAUGCAGACCUGGGGUAGCAGGUGCAGGGACUGCUGUCCCCACCCCCAUCCCAUGCACCUUCACACAGUCUCUGCAGAUCUCCCCAAUUAUAGUGAGGCAGCCACUUACUGUCCUCCCCCAAAAAUCUUGGUGGUGAUGACAUAGCUUGAUCUCCUGGAAGAAAGAGAAAUGGUAGAACGGGCAAGAAAAGGAUUUUUGGAUGAUCAUGUCCCCAGCAACCUCCCGGCCCUCCCCACCCACCCAAC